GAAACGACUGCUAAGACUGGAUAGGAGACAAGAAGGCAUCUUCUUGUUUUUAAAAGACCUAGCAAUAGGUAUGCUUAGGGAGGAGCUUGCGUCACAUUAGUUAGUUGGCGGGGUAAAGGCCUACCAAGACUAUGAUGUGUAGCCGGGCUGAGAGGUUGAACGGCCACAUUGGGACUGAGACACGGCCCAAACUCCUACGGGAGGCAGCAGUAGGGAAUUUUCGGCAAUGGAGGAAACUCUGACCGAGCAACGCCGCGUGAACGAUGAAGUAUUUCGGUACGUAAAGUUCUUUUAUUAGGGAAGAAUAAAUGAUGGAAAAAUCAUUCUGACGGUACCUAAUGAAUAAGCCCCGGCUAACUAUGUGCCAGCAGCCGCGGUAAUACAUAGGGGGCAAGCGUUAUCCGGAAUUAUUGGGCGUAAAGGGUGCGUAGGCGGUUAAAUAAGUUUAUGGUCUAAGUGCAAUGCUCAACAUUGUGAUGCUAUAAAAACUGUUUAGCUAGAGUAAGAUAGAGGCAAGUGGAAUUCCAUGUGUAGUGGUAAAAUGCGUAAAUAUAUGGAGGAACACCAGUAGCGAAGGCGGCUUGCUGGGUCUUUACUGACGCUGAGGCACGAAAGCGUGGGGAGCAAACAGGAUUAGAUACCCUGGUAGUCCACGCCGUAAACGAUGAGUACUAAACGUUGGGUAAAACCAGUGUUGAAGUUAACACAUUAAGUACUCCGCCUGAGUAGUACGUACGCAAGUAUGAAACUUAAAGGAAUUGACGGGACUCCGCACAAGCGGUGGAUCAUGUUGUUUAAUUCGAAGGUACCCGAAAAACCUCACCAGGUCUUGACAUGCUUCUGCAAAGCUGUAGAAACACAGUGGAGGUUAUCAGUUGCACAGGUGGUGCAUGGUUGUCGUCAGCUCGUGUCGUGAGAUGUUGGGUUAAGUCCCGCAACGAGCGCAACCCUUAUUGUUAGUUACCAGCACGUAAUGGUGGGGACUUUAGCGAGACUGCCAGUGAUAAAUUGGAGGAAGGUGGGGACGACGUCAAAUCAUCAUGCCCCUUAUGACCUGGGCUACAAACGUGAUACAAUGGCUGUUACAAAGGGUAGCUGAAGCGCAAGUUUUUGGCGAAUCUCAAAAAAACAGUCUCAGUUCGGAUUGAAGUCUGCAACUCGACUUCAUGAAGUUGGAAUCGCUAGUAAUCGCGAAUCAGCAUGUCGCGGUGAAUACGUUGACGGGGUUUGUACACACCGCCCGUCA
rnacentral:rRNA from 1 species